UUUUUUUUUUUUUCUCUUUUUUAUUUUGAUUAGAUAUGUGUUUAAAAGGAAUGAAAUUAUAUCUUGCAUAUUUGUAAGCCUUUGUUGUUUCUGGCUGUACUGCUUCUUAGCUGAGAAAAUUGACGAGGGUUAAGCAUUUUAGGUCUAGUUUUAGGGUUUUUGUAAGCGCCGAAAUAAAACUUGUUCUGGCAAUAAUGCCAGUCCCAAUAGUUGAAUAAGAAAAUUUUCCAUCUAGAACAUUGGAUUGUCACCUGUGAAUGUCGGAGCUGAAGUUUCUUGACCCUCCUUUACAUCUGUUUAUUCCUUUAUAUUGCUCUCUGUUAAGAUGUAAUAUUGGGUUUAAGAUGUUAAAUUCUGGUAUUUUCUUUGUUACUCUGCACAUAACUCUCACCAAUAAAUAAAUUGGGUGGUUUGACUGUGACUUAGAGAUGAUUAUAAUUAUUUUUUUUUUUGGUUUAAUAUAGAUGCUUGCAUCUAUUUCCACUCUUCUUAAACCUAAACUCUAUCUGCUAUUUUUUUUUUAUUUGAAUGUUAAAAUUUAGUUUUUGACAUGGAUAAAGAUUAGACAAUUAUUCUAGAAAUUCUUUUUUCCGGUAUAUUCUCUUUUCUUUUUAACUGAUUGAGGGAAGAAAUGAAUGAGUGCAUAGUGCACAUUAAUUCUGUCUAAUUGUUCCUUGCUUUGUUCAUUAGAGUGUAAGCUGUAUCCUCAGUUUACUUUCAUAGGUCCCAUAGGCUUGAAGUAUAGCUCCCAAGUAGUAUGGUAGUGGUAUUGGUGGUUGUGUGAAUCGCCAGUAGGCAGCUACUCCCUCUCAGGGAGCAACACUAUUUGAGACUUCUGCAUCAUACAAGAAAUUGCAGGGGAAGUCCAAAGACGAGGCAUUGAGGUGCCCCCAACCUCCCAGUGGAUUGAAAUUGCGAAAACUAGAAUUGAAGAAAGAUGCAUGAGCAUUCUAGAAAUGAAAGGGUAGCAGUGCUGCCGAUGCUUGAUAUUUUUCUCAAUAAAUGUUUGUCCUAGAAGUGUUGUUGUGUGUGAGCUGUCUUCAAGGUGUAAGGUAUGGCUUCUAUAAGUUAAACUAUAGUUUCCAAUGUGCAACUAACAAUCAAGUGCAGGCUAAGGGGCCAAACAACUAUCCUCCUAAAGAGGACAAUGCUUAAUAAUUCUGUGAGCAAACUGCUUUUAUUGAUGUGCUGUCUGCUUGAAUUUGUCUCAAAUUGUGUCAUGAUUGUGAUGUGGCAAUGAUUUUAACCUUUCAAUACUCCACUGGAAAAAGGGUUCUUGUUUUGACAUGAAAGUUGUCUGGUUUUUAGGCUGCCAAAUAUCUAAACAUCAAGAGCUUGCUG
rnacentral:misc_RNA from 1 species